rnacentral:rRNA from 1 species
GUCGAAGUCGUAGUUGGACUUCUGUAGUGAGGUUAGUCCGCUUAGCGGUUGGUACGUGAUCCGCCACUGGCAUUUCUCGGGGAAGUGUCUGCUCUUAAUUGGGUGGUACAUAAACCAAGACUUUUACUUUGAAGAAAUGAGAGUGUUUCAAGCAGGCAUGCGCCGUGAAUACGUUAGCAUGGGAUAAUAGCAUCGGACCUCGUUCCAAAGCUGUUGGUUUCUUGGACCGAGGUAAAGGUGAAUAGGGAUUGUUGGGGGCAUUCGUAUUUGACUGUCAGAGGUGAAAUUCUUGGAUUUGUUGAAGACGGACUACUGCGAAAGCAUCUGCCAAAGAUGUUCUCAUUGAUCAAGAACGAAAGUUAGGUGAUCGAAGACGAUCAGAUACCGUCCUAGUCUUAACCAUAAACUAUGCCGACUGGAGAUCGGGGGUCGUUAAUUAUGUGACGCCCUCUGCAUCUUGAGAGAAAUCAAAGUCUUUGGGUUCCGGGGGGAGUAUGGUCGCAAGGCUGAAACUUAAAGGAAUUGACGGAAGGGCACCACCAGGAGUGGAGCCUGCGGCUUAAUUUGACUCAAUACGGGAAAACUUACCAGGUCCAGACAUAGUAAGGAUUGACAGACUGAUAGCUCUUUCGAGAUUCUAUGGGGUGGUGGUGCAUGGCCGUUCUUAGUUGGUGGAGUGAUUUGUCUGGUUAAUUCCGUUAACGAACGAGA